rnacentral:misc_RNA from 1 species
UACGGAGGGUGCAAGCGUUAAUCGGAAUCACUGGGCGUAAAGCGCGCGUAGGCGGGGCUUUAAGUCAGCUGUGAAAGCCCAGGGCUUAACCUUGGAAUUGCAGUUGAUACUGGAGCUCUGGAGUACAGUAGAGGAAGGUGGAAUUUCAGGUGUAGCGGUGAAAUGCGUAGAGAUCUGAAGGAACAUCAGUGGCGAAGGCGGCCUUCUGGACUGAUACUGACGCUGAGGUGCGAAAGCGUGGGGAGCAAACAGG